rnacentral:rRNA from 1 species
UACGGAGGGUGCAAGCGUUGUUCGGAAUUACUGGGCGUAAAGCGGGUGUAGGCGGCCUCGCAAGUCAGGUGUGAAAUCCCUGGGCCCAACCCAGGAACUGCACUUGAUACUGCUUGGCUCGAGUCCCGGAGAGGAUGGCGGAAUUCCAGGUGUAGAGGUGAAAUUCGUAGAUAUCUGGAGGAACACCAGCGGCGAAGGCGGCCAUCUGGACGGUGACUGACGCUCAGACCCGAAAGCGUGGGGAGCAAACAGG